UAUGGAGGGUGCAAGCGUUAUCCGGAUUUACUGGGUUUAAAGGGUGUGUAGGCGGGCUUUUAAGUCAGUGGUGAAAUCUCCGGGCUCAACCCGGAAACUGCCAUUGAUACUAUUAGUCUUGAAUUUUGUUGAGGUAGGCGGAAUAAGUCAUGUAGCGGUGAAAUGCUUAGAUAUGACUUAGAACACCAAUUGCGAAGGCAGCUUGCUAAACAAACAUUGACGCUGAGGCACGAAAGCGUGGGGAUCAAACAGG
rnacentral:rRNA from 1 species